rnacentral:rRNA from 1 species
AUACGUAGGGUGCAAGCGUUAAUCGGAAUUACUGGGCGUAAAGCGUGCGCAGGCGGUUUUGUAAGACAGAGGUGAAAUCCCCGGGCUCAACCUGGGAACUGCCUUUGUGACUGCAAGGCUAGAGGCAGGCAGAGGGGGAUGGAAUUCCGCGUGUAGCAGGGAAAUGCGUAGAUAUGCGGUGGAACACCGAUGGCGAAGGCAAUCCCCUGGGCCUGUACUGACGCUCAUGCACGAAAGCGUGGGGAGCAAACAGGAUUAGAUACCCUGGUAGUCCACGCCCUAAACGAUGUCAACUGGUUGUUGGGUCUUCAUUGACUCAGUAACGAAGCUAACGCGUGAAGUUGACCGCCUGGGGAGUACGGCCGCAAGGUUGAAACUCAAAUGAAUUGACGGGG